AACCACAAGGUUCCCUGUCCUGUAGGGUGAAGUUUGGCUAGCUACAUAUGGAGACGAGCAUCUCUUCAAACUUCAGGUGCAGACUCCGCACAAGGAUGUGAAGAUACAGCAAGCAUCUCCCAGCUGCAAACACACGGCUUGGAGGGAAUGCCACUCCACACGCAAAUAGAUCACAUCGAUCAAGAGUAUGCAACCCAAAUGCACUGCCGUUCCUCACUCAGAAGAGGCUCUGGCCUCCUGCGUGUCUACAAGAUGUUCAAGAUGGAGCAGAAAAGAGGGAGAGGCAGGAAGGAAUUACGUGGCCAGCCUCCAUUCAUGGGCCAAGAAACCAAGGAAUCAAUGAACUCAGAUGCCAGGACAGGUUUUUCAGAAUUCCAGAAGAGGACUAGAUCCCCACACAGUUACAUAAGCCCAUGAGCACGGUCUGAAGAGAUGCCAGCAGGAAUGCAAGCAGCUGGGAGCCAGGGCAGGGCAGGGCAGGCCCAGCACUCUUCUCACUGCUGGCCAAGCAGUUGCGUCCCCAGGACACCAGCGCCACAAAAAGCACCCACUUCCCAGAGCACUGGCCAAGUCUCCUAGUGUGACACACCCACAGGACACCGGGCGCUUCUCAAAGCCAGGGGGAACUUGGCCAGCCAGGAGAAGGGCUGAACUGGGUGGCAUCUGGUGUCAGUACAUGCAGCCCAUGAGCAUCAGCUGGCCCGCCCUGGGAAGCCAACUGCCUGCUCGUUCUGCACCUUUGCCUUAUGACACCCCAACACUGAUGGAGAGGAAACACUCGAAGCAGCAUCUCCACCCAUGCUCUGCAACAUCGCCCACAAUGGCUCAACCAGCUCCUUCUGCCGCAUGCCUCAAUCCCUGCCCGAUCCCAGGGAGAUGUCCUCUGCUGGACCAGCACCCCAGCCUGUGGGUCAGCGCCAGGCAAACGGACCCAUUUCCAGCGGACAAGCCUGCCCAGCGUCUCCGGCUAGCCACGUGUCGUUCUGCUUUGCCUUUACCUCUGCUGGUGGGGACGUACUGUUCCAUCACACUGACAUAAAGCUGCAAGGUGAGCUGUGGGGUGGAGCCCAGGAAGGCCUGGA